AACGAACGCUGGCGGCAGGCCUAACACAUGCAAGUCGAGCGCCCCGCAAGGGGAGCGGCGGACGGGUGAGUAACGCGUGGGAACGUGCCCUUUGCUACGGAAUAGCCCUGGGAAACUGGGAGUAAUACCGUAUGUGCCCUUCGGGGGAAAGAUUUAUCGGCAAAGGAUCGGCCCGCGUUGGAUUAGGUAGUUGGUGGGGUAAUGGCCUACCAAGCCGACGAUCCAUAGCUGGUUUGAGAGGAUGAUCAGCCACACUGGGACUGAGACACGGCCCAGACUCCUACGGGAGGCAGUAGUGGGGAAUCUUAGACAAUGGGGGAAACCCUGAUCUAGCCAUGCCGCGUGAGCGAUGAGGGCCUUAGGGUUGUAAAGCUCUUUCACCGGAGAAGAUAAUGACGGUAUCCGGAGAAGAAGCCCCGGCUAACUUCGUGCCAGCAGCCGCAGUAACAC
rnacentral:rRNA from 1 species